rnacentral:rRNA from 1 species
AUGCUGGAGGUAUCAGAAGUGCGAAUGCUGACAUAAGUAACGAUAAAGCGGGUGAAAAGCCCGCUCGCCGGAAGACCAAGGGUUCCUGUCCAACGUUAAUCGGGGCAGGGUGAGUCGACCCCUAAGGCGAGGCCGAAAGGCGUAGUCGAUGGGAAACAGGUUAAUAUUCCUGUACUUGGUGUUACUGCGAAGGGGGGACGGAGAAGGCUAUGUUGGCCGGGCGACGGUUGUCCCGGUUUAAGCGUGUAGGCUGGUUUUCCAGGCAAAUCCGGAAAAUCAAGGCUGAGGCGUGAUGACGAGGCACUACGGUGCUGAAGCAACAAAUGCCCUGCUUCCAGGAAAAGCCUCUAAGCAUCAGGUAACAUCAAAUCGUACCCCAAACCGACACAGGUGGUCAGGUAGAGAAUACCAAGGCGCUUGAGAGAACUCGGGUGAAGGAACUAGGCAAAAUGGUGCCGUAACUUCGGGAGAAGGCACGCUGAUAUGUAGGUGAAGUCCCUCGCGGAUGGAGCUGAAAUCAGUCGAAGAUACCAGCUGGCUGCAACUGUUUAUUAAAAACACAGCACUGUGCAAACACGAAAGUGGACGUAUACGGUGUGACGCCUGCCCGGUGCCGGAAGGUUAAUUGAUGGGGUUAGCGCAAGCGAAGCUCUUGAUCGAAGCCCCGGUAAACGGCGGCCGUAACUAUAACGGUCCUAAGGUAGCGAAAUUCCUUGUCGGGUAAGUUCCGACCUGCACGAAUGGCGUAAUGAUGGCCAGGCUGUCUCCACCCGAGACUCAGUGAAAUUGAACUCGCUGUGAAGAUGCAGUGUACCCGCGGCAAGACGGAAAGACCCCGUGAACCUUUACUAUAGCUUGACACUGAACAUUGAGCCUUGAUGUGUAGGAUAGGUGGGAGGCUUUGAAGUGUGGACGCCAGUCUGCAUGGAGCCGACCUUGAAAUACCACCCUUUAAUGUUUGAUGUUCUAACGUUGACCCGUAAUCCGGGUUGCGGACAGUGUCUGGUGGGUAGUUUGACUGGGGCGGUCUCCUCCUAAAGAGUAACGGAGGAGCACGAAGGUUGGCUAAUCCUGGUCGGACAUCAGGAGGUUAGUGCAAUGGCAUAAGCCAGCUUGACUGCGAGCGUGACGGCGCGAGCAGGUGCGAAAGCAGGUCAUAGUGAUCCGGUGGUUCUGAAUGGAAGGGCCAUCGCUCAACGGAUAAAAGGUACUCCGGGGAUAACAGGCUGAUACCGCCCAAGAGUUCAUAUCGACGGCGGUGUUUGGCACCUCGAUGUCGGCUCAUCACAUCCUGGGGCUGAAGUAGGUCCCAAGGGUAUGGCUGUUCGCCAUUUAAAGUGGUACGCGAGCUGGGUUUAGAACGUCGUGAGACAGUUCGGUCCCUAUCUGCCGUGGGCGCUGGAGAACUGAGGGGGGCUGCUCCUAGUACGAGAGGACCGGAGUGGACGCAUCACUGGUGUUCGGGUUGUCAUGCCAAUGGCACUGCCCGGUAGCUAAAUGCGGAAGAGAUAAGUGCUGAAAGCAUCUAAGCACGAAACUUGCCCCGAGAUGAGUUCUCCCUGACUCUUUGAGGGUCCUGAAGGAACGUUGAAGACGACGACGUUGAUAGGCCGGGUGUGUAAGCGCAGCGAUGCGUUGAGCUAACCGGUACUAAUGAACCGUGAGGCUUAACCUU